CUUGAAUCUGCUUUCUCCCAAAAAGUAAUUUCCAUACUUGUGUAAAAAGGAAAAAUACUAUUUAUAAUCUUUUUACAUAUUUAUCUUGCUGUUUUUUAAUUGCACUGUGUGCCCAAUAAAUAGUAUUUUUCCUUUUUACACAAGUUUGGAAAUUACUUUUUGGGAGAAAGCAGAUUCAAG
rnacentral:miRNA from 1 species